rnacentral:rRNA from 1 species
CUGUUCCCAUUCCGAACACAGAAGUUAAGCUCCUAAGCGCUGAUGGUACUUGGUGGGCAACCGCCUGGGAGAGUAAGACGUAGCCACGU